GCUUGCGGUUUCAGUGAAAUCUCCUACUCAGACUUGGCAGGCUCGACCCUCGACGACUGCUGCACUACUGUUUCUCUCUCUUCAUCGCCGUCCGAGAAAGUAAAUGGCGAAAAGGCGAGACCGCCGAGUCGUGCAGAGUUCAGGUCGCCGUCAAGCCCGCGGCGACACGUCCACUCAAGUGGACCAAUUCAGCGAGUCAGCAGCUUCAGAUCGCAAGCUCAUCACCAUUUUCGUCUCCUUCUUCAUCGUAAUUCCCGCCGUCUCCGUACUGGUAUACUGUAUCAAAUAUGUUCCAAAUACGUACAGAACGGAAUCACAUGCACACCAAGAAGGGCGUGUUAAAACUGAUUUGAAUUACCAAGAAAUCCUCAGUAAGAAUUCAAAGGUUUCAAAUAAUGCAUCUCACCGGCAGUAUACAUAUCCAGUACUAGCAUACAUUACUCCCUGGAAUUCUAAAGGGUAUGAAAUGGCAAAGAGGUUCACGAACAAGUUUACGCAUUUAUCGCCUGUCUGGUAUGAUCUGAGGAGCCAAGGCACCGACUUAAUACUGCAAGGGAGGCAUAAUGCUGAUAAAGGAUGGAUCUCAGAGCUUAGAAUGAAAGGAGAUGCUCUGGUGUUACCUAGAGUUGUUUUGGAAGCAUUUCCAAAAGAGAUGCUUAUGAAGAAGAAACUGAGGGAUAAAGCUAUUGAGCUUAUAGUAUCAGAGUGCAAGGAAAUGGAAUAUGAUGGAAUUGUGCUCGAGUCCUGGUCAAGGUGGGCAGCUUAUGGCAUCUUGCGUGAUCCAGAUACGAGGAAUAAGGCCCUGAAGUUUAUAAAACAACUUGGGCAUGCACUGCACUCUGUGAGCUCAGCAAGGAGCAGUAAGCAACCUUUACAGUUGGUCUACGUUAUAGGGCCACCACAUUCAGAGAAGCUUCAAGUGCAUGACUUUGGCCCAGAGGAUCUUCAGAGCUUGAAUGAUGCUGUAGAUGGUUUCUCACUCAUGACCUAUGACUUCUCAAGUCCUCAUAAUCCUGGUCCAAAUGCACCUUUGAAGUGGAUCCGUUUCACCCUGCAGCUGCUCCUUGGCACCACUGGCAGUGAUGCCUGGACCCAAGCCCAUAAAAUAUUUCUUGGCAUCAAUUUUUACGGAAAUGAUUUUCUCCUUUCUGAAGGUUCUGGUGGGGGAGCUAUUAUUGGGAGAGAUUACCUCUCUUUAUUGGAGAAGCACAAGCCUGACUUGCGAUGGGAGGAGGGCAGUGCAGAGCAUUUUUUCCUCUAUGUUGAUGAUGAAAAUAAAAAUCAUGCGGUGUUCUACCCAUCGUUAACAUCAGUUUCUCUACGACUAGAGGAAGCUCGAAUAUGGGGAACGGGCAUCUCGAUCUGGGAAAUUGGGCAAGGUUUGGAUUGCUUUUUUGAUCUUUUGUGAGAAGCAAGUUUUGUUGUUUUUGUUAUUAAAAAAGAUCUUUAUAGGAUGUACCGUUCAUCUCCAACUGCAUACUGUAAAAAUUUUUGCUGAAGUUCAGUUUCAUCUAAUGGAGUUCGUUGGCCAUUGGCCAUGAUCACCUUAUAUAAAAUAAAUUUUGGCUUAAAAAAAAAACAAAACUUG
rnacentral:misc_RNA from 1 species